rnacentral:rRNA from 1 species
UACGAAGGGGGGCUAGCGUUGUUCGGAUUUACUGGGCGUAAAGCGCACGUAGGCGGAUCGUUAAGUUAGGGGUGAAAUCCCAGGGCUCAACCCUGGAACUGCCUUUAAUACUGGCGAUCUAGAGUCCGGAAGAGGUGAGUGGAACUCCUAGUGUAGAGGUGGAAUUCGUAGAUAUUAGGAAGAACACCAGUGGCGAAGGCGGCUCACUGGUCCGGUACUGACGCUGAGGUGCGAAAGCGUGGGGAGGCAAAGCGGG